GCAGCCGCGGUAAUUCCAGCUCCAAUAGCGUAUAUUAAAGUUGUUGCAGUUAAAAAGCUCGUAGUUGAAUUUCGGAAUCCGUCCGUUGGUCGGGCUUCAUUGUCCGUACUGGUGUGGUGGGUUCUUACCUUCUGAAUAACCAGCAUGCCAUUUACUUGGUGCGCUGGGGAAGCAGGACUAUUACCUUGAAAAAAUUAGAGUGCUCAAAGCAGGCCAGCGCCUGAAUACAUUAGCAUGGAAUAAUAAAAUAGGACGGCAUGGUUCUAUUUUGUUGGUUUCUAGGAUCACCGUAAUGAUUAAUAGGGAUAGUUGGG
rnacentral:rRNA from 1 species